rnacentral:rRNA from 1 species
GAUGAACGCUGGCGGCAUGCCUAAUACAUGCAAGUCGAACGAAGCACUUGUGCUUAGUGGCGAACGGGUGAGUAAUACGUAAGCAACCUGCCCUAAACACGGGGAUAACUACUGGAAACGGUAGCUAAUACCCGAUAGGUCAUAAAGUGGCAUCACUUAAUGAUUAAAGGUCCCUUCAAGGACCAGUUUGGGAUGGGCUUAUGGCGCAUUAGCUAGUUGGUGAGGUAACGGCUCACCAAGGCGAUGAUGCGUAGCCGACCUGAGAGGGUGAUCGGCCACAUUGGGACUGAGACACGGCCCAAACUCCUACGGGAGGCAGCAGUGAGGAAUAUUGGUCAAUGGACGAGAGUCUGAACCAGCCAAGUCGCGUGAAGGAUGACUGCCCUAUGGGUUGUAAACUUCUUUUAUGUGGGAAUAAAAAAGGGAACGUGUUCCCUAUUGCAUGUACCACUAUGAAUAAGCAUCGGCUAACUCCGUGCCAGCAGCCGCGGUAAUAC